rnacentral:rRNA from 1 species
CUUGGUCAUUUAGAGGAAGUAAAAGUCGUAACAAGGUUUCCGUAGGUGAACCUGCGGAAGGAUCAUUAGUGAAUCUUUCAAAGUCGGCUUCGUCCGUUCUGUGCUGGUGGAGACACAUGUGCACGUUCGGCGAGUCGCAAAUCCACACACCUGUGCAUCUAUGACUCUGAGUGCCGCUUUGCAUGGUCUUGACAGGCCUGGCGCUCGAGUAUUUUCACACACUCUUGAAUGUAACGGAAUGUCAUGUUGUGCGUAAUGUACAAAAGAAACAACUUUCAACAACGGAUCUCUUGGCUCUCGCAUCGAUGAAGAACGCAGCGAAAUGCGAUAAGUAAUGUGAAUUGCAGAAUUCAGUGAAUCAUCGAAUCUUUGAACGCACCUUGCACCCUUUGGUAUGCCAAAGGGUACACCCGUUUGAGUGUCAUUGUAAUCUCACUACGAUUGACUUUGUCGUCUUUCUGUAUGUGGACUUGGAUGUUGUCGUGGAUAUCCACAACUCGUCUGAAAUGCCUGAGUGUAUCCCGCUUUGCGGCGUAUUCGGUGUGAUACAUCUUCACCGGAGUUGAUCCCUUUGGGUCGCGUCUAUAUGAGUGUGGCUCUAUGCUUCCAACCGUCUUCCAGGAGACAAUUUCUGACAAUUUGACCUCAAUCGGGUGGGACUACCCGCUGAACUUAAGCAUUAUCAAUAAGCGGAGGA